rnacentral:tRNA from 1 species
GGGGCUGUGGCCGAGUGGGUAAAGCCGCUGCUUGCAAUACCAGCAUCCCAUAUGAGUGUUGGGUUCGAGUCCCAGCUGCUCUA